AUUUUUAAGACAACAUUUCAAAAAGUGCGGAGGUCUGUUGUGCAAGUAUUUUGGUAUUGAUGGGUUGUACUUGCAGUAGGCGCUGCUCAGUCGCAGGUUUGCAUCCAAAUAGUGCUGAAGAACAUCGGGAAUGAAAGAUUCAACCAACAUCACCGCAAUACCAUACACAGAUUUGUCAAUACUUUGGGGAGAAAUAGUUUGGUAUGCAAGAUUUGCAAGAUAGAUGAUGGUGAAGACUGGUUGGGAUGUGAUUCAUGUGGGCAGUACUUUCAUGCAAGUUGUCUGAAUGUUGACUUUGGAUAAACUCUGACAGAGUACUUUGCUUGCCCAUAAUCAGACAUGACAAUCGUAUAAUAAUACAAAACAUAAAUUGUAAGAUUUAAAAGUGCCGAAUAAAAAAGACUUACCGAUUAGAA